UACGUAGGGUGCAAGCGUUGUCCGGAAUUAUUGGGCGUAAAGAGCUCGUAGGCGGUCUGUCGCGUCUGCUGUGAAAACUCGGGGCUUAACCCCGGGCCUGCAGUGGGUACGGGCAGACUAGAGUGCGGUAGGGGAGACUGGAAUUCCUGGUGUAGCGGUGAAAUGCGUAGAUAUCUGGAGGAACACCGGUGGCGAAGGCGACAUCCUGGACCAACACUGACGCUGAGGAGCGAAAGCCAGGGGAGCAAACGGG
rnacentral:rRNA from 1 species